GCGCCCGAGCAGCGCUUCCGCCCUCACUGCCCUUAAAGGGGCCGCAGCCGCCCUCAGGGACACCGCGGGGACACCGCGGGGACACCUGUGAGGGACGGAGCCUCCUCUUGCCCCCUGAACCUGCCCCUCGUGAUCCAGGGGAAACCUCAGGUUCCAAUAAACCCACCCCUUUCCCCUGUCCCAGGGUGGAACCCGCACGGCAGCGGCUCAGGGACGGCCCGGACCCCACAGCCAGCCCGGGCCCGAGCAUCCCGCACCUGUGUGGGGCCACCUUCGUCUUUCACCCUGACCCUUCAUCUUCCCACGGGAGGCAGCGGCUCUGCGGCUCGGGGCAGGGCAGAACCGGCUCGUUCGGCACAGGUUGAUCCGGUUCCAGAUCUAACGGGCCUGGAAGAGCUGGUUCAGCGCAGUCGGGAUCCAAAUCCGAACGCUUUUAUCCCAGGAGAAGGUAAAGCCGCUGGGUGUUCUCCAGGCUCCAGGGAGGUGCUGUGCCGUUUCCGCGGUGUUCCACACUCCUGAGGGAGUGGAGUUGGUGUCAGAACAUCGCUGGAGCAGCUCCUGUUCCAGCAGGAAUUCCGAGCUUGGAGCGCCACGAAGAUUGGAGCCCAGACGAUUCACAGGCUCAGCACUGCUCAGUGCCAAACGCACCAAAACCUUUUUGCCUGAGGGAAAUCCACAUCUCGCCAAGGCCUCCGGAGCCCCGCGGCGGAGCGAGGGAAGCGUGGAGCCCGGAGCCAGCGCUCCCCGAGUGCCUCUGUGCGUC